UACGUAGGGGCCUAGCGUUGUCCGGAUUUAUUGGGCGUAAAGAGCUCGUAGGCGGUUCGGUAAGUCAGGUGUGAAAUCUCCACGCUCAACGUGGAGGCGCCACCUGAAACUGCCGUGACUCGAGUCCGGUAGGGGAGUGUGGAAUUCCCGGUGUAGCGGUGAAAUGCGCAGAUAUCGGGAGGAACACCAGUGGCGAAAGCGGCUUCCUGGUCCAGCACCGACGUUCAGGCACGAAAGCGUGGGGAGCAAACAGG
rnacentral:rRNA from 1 species